rnacentral:rRNA from 1 species
CAGCAGCCGCGGGAAUACGAAGGGGGCUAGCGUUGUUCGGAAUCACUGGGCGUAAAGGGUGCGCAGGCUGGUUCUUAAGUCAGGGGUGAAAUCCCGAGGCUCAACCUCGGAACGGCCUUUGAUACUGGGAAACUUGAGUGCAGAAGAGGAGAGUGGAAUUCCACGUGUAGCGGUGAAAUGCGUAGAGAUGUGGAGGAACACCAGUGGCGUAGGCGACUCUCUGGUCUGUAACUGACGCUGAGGAGCGAAAGCGUGGGGAGCGAACAGGAUUAGAUACCCCAGUAGUCCCUGUCUCUUAUAC